rnacentral:piRNA from 1 species
UGGGGAAAUGGGACUGUUAGGUU